UGAUUAGCUUUAUUAUUAUUAAGUAUAUGAGAGAUCAUUAACUUGAACACGGUUUAGAGAAGAGAGCUCACUUUCUGAAACUUAAGUACCUUCUAGCGGCAGCUCACCUGAGUUUUAAGGACAGCAUUUAGAAAGUAAAUGAAACAUAUGAAGGGAAAAUUUAUAAACUCAGAAGUGAAAUAUUUAUCACAGAAUAAUAACCUAGCAAAUAAAAUUGACAAUCCUGAAAUCUUCCCCAAAUUUAGGAAGUCUAGGAAGACUAGUUUGUUAGAAUUCUUUUUUUUAAUGAUUUUCAUUUUUUCAAUUAUAAUUGGUUUACAGUGUUCUGUCAAUUUUCUACUGUACAGCAAAGUGACUCAGUCUCACACACACACUCUUUUUCUUACAUUAUUCUUCAUCAUUACACAUGAACAAUUUCUUCAUACAUUUUAAAAUACUACAAGUUUAGGAACUACAGGUAACAAGUAAUUCCCUUCCCCAAGCUUCAACCUUAUGAGGAAUAACUUUCUUUUAGUCUAGCCUUUGCCUCUUUUUACUACUUUAUUCCAUCCUCCACUGGGGCAUCAAAGUGACUCAUAAAUUCCAGAGGAAUAAACCAGAUCUGGUCAGAACAGCUCUGCCCUUUGUCUUUGACAUAAAUGUUCACAAAGAACUUGGGUUUUCCACUUCUUCACACUAUGAAUUCUACCUGGGAAAACUGAACAUGCCUACUCCAGUAAAACAUGAAUUGGGACUGGGGAUAGAGGUGUCUGAUUAUUGGGCUGAGUAUUAACAAGCCUGCCAUCAGAGUGCAGCCACAUACUCAAACUCAGCCUUUACUAGUUGUGAAUGUGAGACUCUGGCAUCCAUAUUUAAUUUUUUGAUGUUAUCCUGAUUUUAGGGGUGUGGGAAAAAAACCCAACUUCAUAAGAGUUACACUAUAAUUGACAUUAGUAUAUAGUAAGUUAUGAUUUUAAAUACAGACAAGUCUACUUAUCUUUUAUUGAAAAUAAACUUAAUUGUACAGUGUAAUUCCCCAUUUUAAGGAAUUAUCCAAUAGGUUGAGAUGGUGAUCUUUUCUGUAGGAGGUAAGUGGUGAAAUUUGUGUCAUGUAUCAGCCGUUACGGACACAGCUAGCAACUGCACUAAGUAACGGUACUAAAAUGGAAUUGCUCUGAAAUACAUUCUGUUGACUUUACCUAGGCAAAUCAGCAUGUCAUGCAAGAUAUUAUAUAGCUCAAGUUAUAAACAGGCUCUAUUGGAGAUCUUUGAGCUUAACAGAAGGUCAUUAUUCAUCUUUAAAAACCCUCCCUCCCCAUCAGUCAAGGCAAAGAUUCACUAACCAAGGCAGUUUUCGGACCUCCCUACGCAUGUCCCAGUGAUCCACAAAGCAGACUAGCAUCAUGGGAGAAUUUACUGGAGUCACAAUUAAAUUCAAAGAAAUACAACCAACUUAAUUGCAUUUCUUCCAUGUUUCAAGAAUAGCUCUGGGAAAACAGAGAUAAGUAAGGCAUGGGAUUGACUCUAAAGAACCUACCAUUGUUCUGUCAAUUUCUGUAUGGUAGAAAUUGACAGAACAAUGUAAAUCACCUAUAAUGGAAAAAACAAAAAUCGCUAAAAAAUAAAAUGCUUGCCCUGGUUUAACAUGAGGAUUUAUCAAUGUCAAAUAAGAUUAUAUAUGAACAUAUAAAAUAUAAGGCCAAAGGGCAGCAAAUGGUUAUAGUUGAUUUAGUAAAAUGCAAUAAAAUGUAUGCAGAAGCUUCAAUAGGGCCAUGAAAAAGAAUGAUUUAACCCUAAAGGGGUCUUAUGUUGGACAAAAGAAAAGAAUGUCAUUAGAAAUCAAUGUAAUAAUAAGUGCAAAUUCUUGCAAUGGGUAAAACAAAAUGAUAUUUUGAUAGAGUCACAUAUAUUUUGGUACUGCUAAAAUAUAAAAGAUAAUGGAUUUGGAUAGAAAAUCAAGAUCCAGGUUAUGAAAGACUUUCUCUGCAAUACUAAAAUACUUUGUGCUUAUUCCAUAACGGUGUAAUGUCCACUGGGCAAUUUUUCAGCAUAGGAUUGAUGCUAAUAUUUUUGUUUUAGAAAGAUCAUAGUUACGAUAGAGUAGAGGAUGGCUUGAAUGAGGUAGAGACUGUAAGCAGGAAUAUCAGUUAUACAGCUGUUAAAAUAUACCAGGUGAGAAGAGUCUAGAUUAAACUAGCUGCCAUCUGAGAAAAAAGGUGAUGACUCAUGAAUAAUGAAUUUCUUCCCAAACGGCAUCUCCACAUGUCCUUAUUUGUAGUUUUAAAUAAAUAAUAACCCUUUGUUUUCUCUGUUUUUAUUUGUAAAAUGUGGCUGAGAAAAGUAACAAUCACCUAAUGAUUAUUUGUAAUGGGCUGAGGCUGAGCUUGGAAACCAAAAUGAACAAGAAGGAAAACUAGCCAAGGGAGUAUCAAUAAAGUUCCUCUACAAGGGCUCUAUCAAGGAAGUUGCCCGACCACUGCUACCCAAAAGUUGGUUUGUGAUUAUCUAACCCAUAUCUUAUGGUCUUCUAACCUGUAAUUUGUUGCUCCUGAUCUGAGAUCUUUAAACAACCAAAACAUCAGGUUCCAGAAAGUACCUAAAAAUAGUAUUGCCUAUGCGGACUUUAGUUUCAGAAAAUUCUCAUGCUGCUUUCUGUCCUGAAUCAAGUUUUCCAGGUAGACAACUCCACAUUUCUUUUCUUUCUUUCUUUUUUCUUUUUUUUCUUUUUGGCCUUUUAAGGGCCGCGCCUACAGCAUAAGGACGUUCCCAAGGCCAGGUGUCGAAUCAGAGCGACAGCUGCUGGCCUAAACCACAGUCACAGCAGUGCCAGAUCCUUAACCUACUGAGCGAGGCCAGGGAUGGAACCUGCAUCCUCAUAGAUACUAGUUGGGUUCAUUACCUUUGAGCCACAAUGGGAACUCCAACUCCACAUUUCUUGCCUCACCCUUGAAAUUUGUUGCCACCUGUUGCAGCAAUAGUGGAUGCUCCACUAUUAAUGCAGUCAUCCUCGGAGAACCUCGAGUUGGCUUCUUACCAAUUAGACUUCAUUACCAUACUAUUCUCACAUACUCUCAUACGUAACCUACUUAGGGUCGUUAUAUUGAUAUCAUAAUUAUCAUAUCAAAUUCUUACAAUGCCAUGUAAUAAUUGUGAUAUUAUUAUAAUUGUUAUAAAAUGAUAUAUUUUAAUGAUAUUGUGUUUUGGUUUAGGUAGCUCUGGUAUAGACAAAAAAGCUCAAGGUUUAGAGUCAGACCUGUCUGAGGGGUAGUACACAUUGGUUUUUUUUUUUUUUCCAGCUGUGUGAUUUUGUGCAGCUGAUGCUACAAAUUUUUCACAUGUGAAAUGAGAACAGGACUACAUAUCUCAGGGGAAUGAUGGCAGGGGAGUUGCUGAGGAGCUUAGCAUAGUAUUGCGCACGCUUGACUCUCGCAUGGUCAUUUUCCCCGAAACCUCUCUCCAGAGGAAUUAAAAAAAAAACAUUGGAAGCACUAUGUUGAAUUAUAUGAAAAUAAAGCACCUGAAUUACUAAAGUGUUUUAGGCUAUGCUAGAUAUUACUUGUAUUUGAAUAAUCCACUCCCAGGUAUUUCAAAGAUUUAAACAAAAACAGAAGACUAUUCCAUGAAAUCUUACUUAUCUUCACUUUUUUCAAGGCUUUAUAAACACCUUUAAACACUUCAUAUAUUUAGAAAUGCAACUGUUGGCUGAAAACAGGUGGUGCCAUUAGCUAAAUGACUAUGCCUUUUUCACAUCAUUCUUCAUUUUUUAGGACAAUGGACACUUAAGGAGGUUACAUCAUUAAAUCAUACUUCAAUGGUGGGAUUGGAUUUUGAAAAUAUCCACUUUUUCCCUCCAACCACAGAGAUAACUGGGGAAAAAAUAAGCACAUCUAUUUGUUCACAAAGAAAUACUCCAUUUUGCUAUGCUAUUGCAACUAGCAAUAAGGAAAUGUGAAUUUCAACUGAAAGAGCCCCUGGGAGACUAUGAGAAAGGUAAACAUGACAGGGAAAUGCAAGCAAAAGAUGUGCCCGUCAGCUGCAAGUUCUUUUAAACCAUUUUAGGAAGAUGACAUAUUUUCCUCUUAAAAUUGUGAUGUUUUGGAAACGUUAGGGGUCUCUCUCUCUCUCUUCUUUGUCUGAGCUCAUUGCUAACUCUCCUCUUUGAUCUCAAGUCUGUUUCGACUUCCUGUUAUGGGAAACUGGGAAUUGAGAACCAAUGCAUGGAAAAUUCUGGUUAUCAAAAAAAGAGAAGCUACAAAUGGUCCCCAAACCCUCCCAGCCCAUAAUGCUUGGGAUGAGCAUAAACAGGAAAGUAUCUUGGAUGACAGCGACUGACUCAUCCUGUGCGCCUGGGACUUGUUCUGCAGUUCACCUAGCAGGUGCAAUUAUGUCAGCAGAGAACGGGAUGAAGAAAUGACCUUUGAAGGCAGCUCUGGGGUGUGGGAGUUAUGUGUGGAAACCUUAUUAGACAUCGGAAGCAGAGCUUCUGAAAUAAUAGUCCAAGUGUAAAAUAGCACCUCUGGAUAAUUGUAGCAUAAUACAAUAGUUUUGGCAGGAAAAUUUGAAAAGAGAUACCAGAUUAAAUGUGAAUUGAAACUCCACAUUCUUACAGGAAGUUCAUUUAACUUCCUGAGACUUUUCCCAUUUGAAAAAUCCAAGAAAUCUUGUUGAAUUUUAAUUAACUGAAUUUUGCUAAUUUGUAUGUUAUUUGUAUUCUAUCAGGAAACCCAAAUGCUAGGUUGACUUCAUCAAACACUGUGUGCUACAUAAAAUACACUGUGUUAGGCAAGCUGGUGGUAUAAAUAUAAAUUGGUUAUUUAUUUAUCAAUUUUACUUCCCCUGUUAUUAAAUUUAUUUUGCAGUGAAUACAAGCAUACUGUUUUCUUAAUAAAACAGAAAUCUAUUCCCCAAAUUAUAUUGAAAGAAAGGAAAUCAUUUUACCAAUAUCCAGGAAGUGUAACUAUUGCUUUUGUUGUUGUUUUUUUAAUAAAUGCUUCCACUACACUAUUCAAUAUCCCACUCCCUGUAUACACUAUUACUUCCCUUCUCCUAUAGUCAACUUGUACUGAAUUUUCCCAUCAAUUAGCAUUGAGUAAAACUGAAUAAGAUAGUGCUUCUACUGCAGAGAAUUUAUUUCAGAAGGAAAU
rnacentral:lncRNA from 9 species